rnacentral:tRNA from 1 species
GGAGAGGUGUCCGAGUGGUUGAAGGAGCACGCCUGGAAAGCGUGUAUACGGGUCAAACCGUAUCGAGGGUUCGAAUCCCUCUCUCUCCGCCA